AACGAACGCUGGCGGCAUGCCUAACACAUGCAAGUCGAACGAGACCUUCGGGUCUAGUGGCGCACGGGUGCGUAACGCGUGGGAACCUGCCCUUAGGUUCGGAAUAACUCCCCGAAAGGGGUGCUAAUACCGGAUAAUGUCUUCGCACCAAAGAUUUAUCGCCUUUGGAUGGGCCCGCGUUGGAUUAGCUAGUUGGUAGGGUAAAAGCCUACCAAGGCGACGAUCCAUAGCUGGUCUGAGAGGAUGAUCAGCCACACUGGGACUGAGACACGGCCCAGACUCCUACGGGAGGCAGCAGUGGGGAAUAUUGGACAAUGGGCGAAAGCCUGAUCCAGCAAUGCCGCGUGAGUGAUGAAGGCCUUAGGGUUGUAAAGCUCCUUUACCCGGGAUGAUAAUGACAGUACCGGGAGAAUAAGCUCCGGCUAACUCCGUG
rnacentral:rRNA from 1 species